GUAUUAAUUGCGUGUGAUCGCAAAAGAAAAACAUUCUACACUGUAUCGAGUUUGUGUGAAAACGUGAGCCCCCGAAAGGGGACCCACGCGGUGGUGCACAUAGGGGUGAGAUGGAUGUUUGAGAACGCUCGGGCGUGCACGACCUUUGAAGGUCAGCGACAGCCCUCGCACCUCGGUUGUACGAUAAUGAUCCUUCCGCAGGUUCACCUACGGAAA
rnacentral:misc_RNA from 1 species